UACAGGGGGUGCAAACGUUGCUCGGAAUCAUUGGGCGUAAAAGCGCACGUAGGCGGUUCGUUAUGUCGGAUGUGAAAGCCCUUGGCUUAACCGAGGAAGUGCAUCCGAAACUGGCGAGCUAGAGUACGAAAGAGGAUCGCGGAAUUCCCGGUGUAGAGGUGAAAUUCGUAGAUAUCGGGAGGAACACCGGUGGCGAAGGCGGCGAUCUGGGUCGAUACUGACGCUGAGGUGCGAAAGCGUGGGGAGCAAACAGG
rnacentral:rRNA from 1 species